rnacentral:piRNA from 1 species
UGGAGCCCCGACAACUUGCCUUUGUAGA